rnacentral:lncRNA from 1 species
UUCCUGGUAUGGCAUUCCAUCAGCCACUCUGGGGGUAGUCUGGUUCCUGCCAGUCCCACAGCUUAGAGUUCUUACUGAAGAACUCCAUUACAGUCCUUGUCACCUCCCUCAACUUCAUGGGGACAGAGAGAGGUCAGCGGAUGGGUCUGACAACACCGGUCAAGAUAUAUAAUGGAAAGCAGGGUUCUCACCUGUGUGAGAAGGGGUCCCUGGACAGGUUGAGGUGAGCCAGGUUGGAGCAGAAGCCUGACAGAUACAAACAGCUAGGGGGAGAAGGGGUCCCUGGACAGGUUGAGGUGAGCCAGGUUGGAGCGGAAGCCUGACAGAGAUACAAACAGCUAGGGGGAGAAGGGGUCCCUAGACAGGUUGAGGUGAGCCAGGUUGGAGCAGAAGCCUGCUGACAGAUACAAACAGCUAGGGGGGAGAAGGAAGUUGGGGAUGUAAAGUGCAUUAUUUCACAUUGGCACAAACAUGCAUAUCAAGCUAUUCAUUUUCAAAUGAACAAAGAUUACAGAGACUGAUUAUGUUUAUUGUCAUGACCAGAAGUAAAACGUCCACUCAAGUCCAGGUUAGACACAGCAUUUGUCCCUGAGAGGAACUUAAACAGGUUCUGACAGGAAGAGAUAUGAAGCUAUUUAGCGCUAUGGCCC